AUGAAGUUUUAGAUUAUUACAUUCUGUUUUUAUUCACAUUUUACACAACAUCCCAACUUUUUCUGUUUUGGGGUUGUACUUCUCUCGAUGCUAUAUCCUGCCCCCCCUCUCCCUUUGUGCAGCCUUUUUUCUUUAACUCAACAAGAUGCAGAGAAACUAGUCCAGCCUUUAUCACUAGCAGACUACUGCAAUGCAGUUACGUAUUAGCCGACAUUCAAAAAAGAAAUUGGAAAUCAUUCAGAAGUCUGCUGCUAGAAUCCAUACAACAUUCUUUACAUGCAUGACUUUAGACACACCUACCCGCCCGCGAAGACGGAAGGACUCAGAAAGUCAAUGUAAGCGCAAAUUGGAGUCAGUUGGAGGACUGGAUAUCACCACUAGCCUACUACGGCUGAAACAAGUAGCCUAACCUUAAUGGUAACGAAAAGGCUGCGUGUACAAAACCGCAUGGAGCUUCAGUGGGAUUUUGAUUUCGCAAUGAGAAUUCUGUCUAACCAUUAAUGUGGCGAGUGUGGGCGCAUUCACACCAGACCACUUGGUCCGGACCCGAGUUCGUUUGCACCGAUGGUUCGGUGGUUUUCGCUCAUGUUAAGCCUUUUGAGUGCAAUGUGGCGUUCCAUAAGAAAUGCAUCAUCAUAAUCACCAGCAAAUGUACUGAGGCCAAAAGGGGCACAGUGGUAACUAUGAAUGUGUGUGUGUGUGUGUGUGUGUAGAGUGACAAUACUUUUAGGAGGAGGAAGAUGAUGGUGAUGAUGAGGAUGAUGAUUAUUGUGUUUGUGUGUGUGUGUGUGUGUGUGUGUAGAGUGACAAUACUUUUAGGAGGAGGAAGAUGAUGGUGAUGAUGAGGAUGAUGAUUAUUGUGUUUGUGUGUGUGUGUGUGUGUGUGUAGAGUGACAAGCCGCAUAGUUUUAAGACUCUACACAACUACAAGAUUCCCACCUAUUGUGCCCACUGUGGAAGCCUUUUGGUGGGUUUAUGUCAACAAGGAUGCAGGUGUAAGUGUGUGUGUGUGUGUGAGGGUGUGUGUGUGUACGUGUGUGUGUGUGUGUGUGUAUGUGUGUACGUGUACGUGUAAAAAGACCUAACCUGUAUGCCGUAGGUCGUUUCAGUAAAGCACUCACUCUCUUGCCUUGAACUGUUGUGUAUGAGCUUGUAGAAGAAGGCUUGUAGAUCCUGAUCAUUGGAUAAUUUCCCAAUAAUGUAAUAAAGAAAAAACUCAUAACUCGAAAAAACAUGUAAUAAUCCCCAAUAGUGUAAUACAAAUCCCCUCAUGACUCCAAAAAACAUGUAAUGAUCCCCGAUAAUGUAACUACAUGUCCUAAUCUCCGAUAAUGUAACUACAUGCCCUAAUCCCGAUAAUGUAACUACAUGUCCUAAUCUCCGAUAAUGUAACUACAUGUCCUAAUCCCGAUAAUGUACUGUAACUACAUGCCCCAAUCCCCGAUAAUGUAAAAAUCCCAGAUAAUGUAACUAAAUGUCCUAAUCUCCGAUAAUGUACAUGUCCUAAUCUCCGAUAAUGUAAAAAUCCCCGAUAAUGUAACUACAUGUCCUAAUCUCCGAUAAUGUAACUACAUGUCCUAAUCCCUGAUAAUAACUACAUAUCAUAAUCCCUGAUAAUGUAACUACAUGUCCUAAUCCCCGAUAAUAACUACAUAUCAUAAUCCCCGAUAAUGUAACUACAUGUGCUUGGCAUUAACUGGCUAAUGUUGCUACUUCACCAUUGGGCCAAAGUUACAAUAUUGGGAAAUAUUACAUAAUUGCAGAAAUAAGGUUAACCUGAUAAUGUAAUAACCUCCCAUUCAUGUAAUCAUUUGUUACAUUAUCGGUACAGAAAUUAUUAUAUUAUUGGUAAAUAUUACAUUAUUGGGAAUUUUUUCAUAUUUAAUAUGGAUUUAUGAGGGGAUUUUUAUUGAAUUAUUGGGAGUUAUCAAAUUAUUGGGAAACUAGAUGUACCGCAGAGCGUUACAAAAUAUGACCGCCGCCCAGUCCAGCACAUGUUUUCCACAAAAAU